UUCGGGUGGGGAUUAGUGGCGAACGGGUGAGUAACACGUGGGCAAUCUGCCCUGCACUCUGGGACAAGCCCUGGAAACGGGGUCUAAUACCGUAUACUGAACCACUUGGGCAUCCUGGUGGUUCGAAAGCUCCGGCGGUGCAGGAUGAGCCCGCGGCCUAUCAGCUUGUUGGUGAGGUAACGGCUCACCAAGGCGACGACGGGUAGCCGGCCUGAGAGGGCGACCGGCCACACUGGGACUGAGACACGGCCCAGACUCCUACGGGAGGCAGCAGUGGGGAAUAUUGCACAAUGGGCGAAAGCCUGAUGCAGCGACGCCGCGUGAGGGAUGACGGCCUUCGGGUUGUAAACCUCUUUCAGCAGGGAAGAAGCGAGAGUGACGGUACCUGCAGAAGAAGCGCCGGCUAACUACGUGCCAGCAGCCGCGGUCAUACGUAGGGCGCGAGCGUUGUCCGGAAUUAUUGGGCGUAAAGAGCUCGUAGGCGGCUUGUCGCGUCGGUUGUGAAAGCCCGGGGCUUAACCCCGGGUCUGCAGUCGAUACGGGCAGGCUAGAGUUCGGUAGGGGAGAUCGGAAUUCCUGGUGUAGCGGUGAAAUGCGCAGAUAUCAGGAGGAACACCGGUGGCGAAGGCGGAUCUCUGGGCCGAUACUGACGCUGAGGAGCGAAAGCGUGGGGAGCGAACAGGAUUAGAUACCCUGGUAGUCCACGCCGUAAACGGUGGGCACUCGGUGUGGGCGACAUUCCACGUCGUCCGUGCCGCAGCUAACGCAUUAAGUGCCCCGCCUGGGGAGUACGGCCGCAAGGGUACAACUCAAAGGAAUUGACGGGGGCCCGCACAAGCGGCGGAGCAUGUGGCUUAAUUCGACGCAACGCGAAGAACCUUACCAAGGCUUGACAUACACCGGAAAGCAUCAGAGAUGGUGCCCCCCUUGUGGUCGGUGUACAGGUGGUGCAUGGCUGUCGUCAGCUCGUGUCGUGAGAUGUUGGGUUAAGUCCCGCAACGAGCGCAACCCUUGUCCCGUGUUGCCAGCAAGCCAUUCGGGGUGUUGGGGACUCACGGGAGACCGCCGGGGUCAACUCGGAGGAAGGUGGGGACGACUUCAAGUCAUCAUGCCCCUUAUGUCUUGGGCUGCACACGUGCUACAAUGGCCGGUACAAUGAGCUGCGAUACCGCGAGGUGGAGCGAAUCUCAAAAAGCCGGUCUCAGUUCGGAUUGGGGUCUGCAACUCGACCCCAUGAAGUCGGAGUCGCUAGUAAUCGCAGAUCAGCAUUGCUGCGGUGAAUACGUUCCCGGGCCUUGUACACACCGCCCGUCACGUCACGAAAGUCGGUAACACCCGAAGCCGGUGGCCCAACC
rnacentral:rRNA from 1 species